CAAAUCGUACCCCAAACCGACACAGGUGGUCAGGUAGAGAAUACCAAGGCGCUUGAGAGAACUCGGGUGAAGGAACUAGGCAAAAUGGUGCCGUAACUUCGGGAGAAGGCACGCUGACACGUAGGUGAAGUGAUUUACUCAUGGAGCUGAAGUCAGUCGAAGAUACCAGCUGGCUGCAACUGUUUAUUAAAAACACAGCACUGUGCAAACACGAAAGUGGACGUAUACGGUGUGACGCCUGCCCGGUGCCGGAAGGUUAAUUGAUGGGGUCAGCGCAAGCGAAGCUCCUGAUCGAAGCCCCGGUAAACGGCGGCCGUAACUAUAACGGUCCUAAGGUAGCGAAAUUCCUUGUCGGGUAAGUUCCGACCUGCACGAAUGGCGUAAUGAUGGCCAGGCUGUCUCCACCCGAGACUCAGUGAAAUUGAACUCGCUGUGAAGAUGCAGUGUACCCGCGGCAAGACGGAAAGACCCCGUGAACCUUUACUAUAGCUUGACACUGAACAUUGAGCCUUGAUGUGUAGGAUAGGUGGGAGGCUUUGAAGUGUGGACGCCAGUCUGCAUGGAGCCGACCUUGAAAUACCACCCUUUAAUGUUUGAUGUUCUAACGUGGACCCGUUACCCGGGUUGCGGACAGUGUCUGGUGGGUAGUUUGACUGGGGCGGUCUCCUCCUAAAGAGUAACGGAGGAGCACGAAGGUUGGCUAAUCCUGGUCGGACAUCAGGAGGUUAGUGCAAUGGCAUAAGCCAGCUUGACUGCGAGCGUGACGGCGCGAGCAGGUGCGAAAGCAGGUCAUAGUGAUCCGGUGGUUCUGAAUGGAAGGGCCAUCGCUCAACGGAUAAAAGGUACUCCGGGGAUAACAGGCUGAUACCGCCCAAGAGUUCAUAUCGACGGCGGUGUUUGGCACCUCGAUGUCGGCUCAUCACAUCCUGGGGCUGAAGUAGGUCCCAAGGGUAUGGCUGUUCGCCAUUUAAAGUGGUACGCGAGCUGGGUUUAGAACGUCGUGAGACAGUUCGGUCCCUAUCUGCCGUGGGCGCUGGAGAACUGAGGGGGGCUGCUCCUAGUACGAGAGGACCGGAGUGGACGCAUCACUGGUGUUCGGGUUGUCAUGCCAAUGGCACUGCCCGGUAGCUAAAUGCGGAAGAGAUAAGUGCUGAAAGCAUCUAAGCACGAAACUUGCCCCGAGAUGAGUUCUCCCUGAGACUUAGAGUCUCCUGAAGGAACGUUGAAGACGACGACGUUGAUAGGCCGGGUGUGUAAGCGCAGCGAUGCGUUGAGCUAACCGGUACUAAUGAACCGUGAGGCUUAACCUUACAACGCCG
rnacentral:rRNA from 2 species